GACGAACGCUGGCGGCGUGCUUAACACAUGCAAGUCGAACGGAAAGGCCCUGCUUUUGUGGGGUGCUCGAGUGGCUAACGGGUGAGUAACACGUGAGUAACCUGCCCUUGACUUUGGGAUAACUUCAGGAAACUGGGGCUAAUACCGGAUAUGAGCUCCUGCUGCAUGGUGUGGGUUGGAAAGUUUCGGCGGUUGGGGAUGGACUCGCGGCUUAUCAGCUUGUUGGUGGGGUAGUGGCUUACCAAGGCUUUGACGGGUAGCCGGCCUGAGAGGGUGACCGGCCACAUUGGGACUGAGAUACGGCCCAGACUCCUACGGGAGGCAGCAGUGGGGAAUAUUGCACAAUGGGCGGAAGCCUGAUGCAGCAACGCAGCGUGCGGGAUGACGGCCUUCGGGUUGUAAACCGCUUUCGCCUGUGACGAAGCGUGAGUGACGGUAAUGGGUAAAGAAGCACCGGCUAACUACGUG
rnacentral:rRNA from 1 species